CCUACAAAAAUAACCUACGCCCCGACCGCCGCCCGCUCCCUCGCGCCCCCGUUGCUCCAUCCUCGAUCCCGAUCUGGAUCGAGGGGAUGAGGAGCUCCUGCCUCCCCGACGGCCGGCCUCCUCCUCGCCUCGCCGCUGUGUCCGGCGCCGCCAUGGCCUCUGGAGCCAGGGAAGCUCGUCCUCGAGGUCCCCGCCACCGUCUCCUGCAACGUCUGCCCUGCCGCCUCACCAGAUCCUUCGCCCUCGCAGCCGCCGCCGAUCCCCUCCCUCAAACGCCGCCGCCCGUCGCUGCAGCCCCCGCCACCUCCCGUCGCAAGCUUCUGUGCUGCCACACGAUCACAUCUGUCCUCCCUUGCGCUCCGAUCCGCACGAGAUCACCGAUUCUGCCUCCUGAUGCCACGCCGCUCCCCAGCGACGAGGCUGCUCCCAUUGUUCCCAUCGACGCUUCAUGAUCCACGGCCUCCCCCAUCCUCUUCUCCAUACAACACCGAUGUCGCCGUCCCGUAUUCCCCACCGCUGUCUUGCCAACUGUAGCACGCCGGAUCCUCUUCUUCAGAAGCUGCCGCCUCACGUGCAAUGCCACCACCCAUGGCCCUCCACGGACACCACCAUCACGGGCGUAACUUGGACAACAGACCCCAUGACGGCAGAAGGAAGAGCAAGUGGGGGGUAUCGAGACUGGCCACCAUCGUGAGGAUACCGGCGUCCGUGCGCGUGGUGAUGGCAUGGUGACGCAAGAAGGUCGUGUUCCUGGUGUGCCGCGUGCUGCGUCUCCAUCCACGUCCGCGACCGCAAGACAGGGAGAUGCAUCUGGAAGGAGGCACUGGGGCAACAUCAAGAAGUUCUGUUAAACUGAUUCAUAGCAGCAUCUCAAAGUUCAAUCAGAAGAAGCGCGACAUUGUGGUUUCUAUAGGGUGGGAGGUAUCCUCCAUAUCCCUGAGCCGAACAAGCUAAAUCUAAAGCCGGAUGUGUUCUUGCUUACACAUGUGGACAUAGAUAUAGGAGGCAAUUGUAAUUGAUGAUGAUAGAACUUGCCCGUUUGAUGCCACGGACGUUGGGAAGGUAUUCGAUCAGGAUCCCUUGGACAGGCGCUCGUGUUGCUAACAAGAAGAAUGACUGCAUUCAGUCAGCAGCCAAGGAGAUCAGAUGAUGUUUAGGGAUUAUAGGGUCAAAAGAAGGAAGAAGUUUGAAAGCAGCUCAAGCAUUACUGGAAAAGAAUUAUAACUCACCGAUGACAGAGAAGGAGGUGCAUGCUUCCAAGGCAACACUUAUUAUUUUCCUUGUGGGAUACAUGAUGGCACCGAUGGCAAAAUAUGAUUAUUCAAGCCUAACAUACUGGCCAAUGCUUAUGGGUCCUGACAAUAUUCAUAAUUACAAGUGGGGUUAAUAUGUCAUGGAAGGUAUACUAGAGGCAGAUGACAAGCUAAAGUGUGAUGUCACAAGGAAGAAAUCCAUGACCAACAUAACCGGGUGUUCUAUUCCUUCAGGUGUUUUAUCUUCAUAGCCUUAACCUGGGUGAAAUAACAAUGCAGCAUGGAAUUCUUUUGAGAAUCAAGGUGUUCAACAACUAGAUUAUGAGGAUCAUGAUCAUUGGUGAUUGCAGCCGAUCUAUCAGCAAUAGAUCAAAAGUUGAUUUUCGGAGCAUCCAUGGUGUACUGAGUGCAGAGUAUAUGAAUUGCCUUUUGCUUGUUGUCUACUAACAUUCAAUUAUAAUCCAAUAGCCAAGAGACACGAAUAGCAGUGUGUGUUCACACAGGGCUGCAAUGCGUGAUGGUGUUGGCCAUUCAGGGCCUGAACCAAAGGACUUCAUACUAAAGCAGUUCCCUCGAUCGUGCAAGAAUGUAAUAAUUCAUUACUAAGGAUCAAGUUAUAGUUAUUGAAAAGUCGUGACUCGCUACUGCUGGGAGAUGCGCCUCCACACAUUCUAGGGCAAAGAGAUUUGGGCAUGACAAGAUGAAGCAGUUCAGGUCCAUGAUUUCUAUUAAACUUUUGCAAGGAACUCGAUUAAUAUGUUCUUAUGGGUGAUACGUAUGGAGGAAAAGAACCAGAGCAGCGCUAGCUUGGAUAAAAGUUUCAGUGACAGAAUUUGUUUGGCAUAUGUGGAAAUCUUGGUAAAGGCAAAUCUCAACACACCUGAGCAAUGAGCACAUGUUACCAACCACAACCCACACAGGAUAAAGGCGCAUGCGGCGGCGAGUUUAAUAGGGGCAUAAGAAACGAGAAUGGCGGGUGCGGUGACGGUCAUUCAUGUGUUGGACAAAAUAAUACACCCCAUCUGUGUCAUGAGGCUGGACUUGACAUAGACAUCAGCAAACAUGGAGCAUGGUGUUGAGGUGGGAGUCGGACGCAUGGAUGUACUUGACAAGGAGCAAGUAGACGUGAGCAUGCAUAGUGGGCAAUGCUCCCGAUGGUCAGGCGGAUGAGAAGACCGAAGAGGAAAGCCGCAUGUGCAUAUUUGUGGCGGAAUGGGGCUAGCUUGAGGCAAUUAGAGAGGAGGGAAAGCAGAGGGAGUGCAGUGCCAAGGAAAUGCAGCAGGAAAGGUUGGAAAUAGCGUCGCUCGAGCGGGGAAGGGAAGGAGAGACGACCCGUGCGCAGGGGCGACACUACUGCUAUGCUACGGUUCAUGUUGGUGCCGCUGUUACUACAUUGAGAGAGACUGUCGCACCCGUUUGAUGUCUGAGCAUGCUCGGAAGUAUGAGUGAGAAAUAAGCUUCGGCCUUGGACAUGACCUUAAUCCAGGUCGCCGUCGGGACACCGUUGCCGAGGGCUGCGUGUCCGACACCCUUGAGACGCUCUUUCUUUCCGAGGCCACUACGGGGAGGCCUGUGCGCUUGCGCGUGCUCAUGUACGACCGGCAACUCCCGUGGGCGGGCUGCAUGGCGCGCGCCGCCGGCGUGCUGACGGCCACGCUCUUCUCGCAGCUCUGCUCGGUGGGCGUCAUCUACAGGAAGGUCUAUGCCGGCCGCUUCGACCCGUCGGUCAUGGAAGGGGGCGCGCUGCGGGGCCUGCUGAGUGGUGGAAGUGUCAUCAUUUGUGGCAGCACCGGAGUCAUACCGGUUGUUGCUGGAUGUAGUGGUGGGCCCGUUUGAAGGGUUUGUGGACGCCGCCGACGUCAUAGCAACUCGUUCCAUGAGCUUGAUAUCAAGGUGAGGUCCCUUGUCCGUGCCCCCCCAUUUUUCCCAAGUGAAAGAUGGAUCAAAGCCAGCUGGAGAGAUCCGUCUUAUUUAUUCAAGCCCCGUUUGUUUUGUUUUCUACAUAAAGUCUAUGUUAUGAUUGACUUUACCAUUGCUGCUCACUUCCAAAUUUGUUGUAAUUAACUGUCCUCCCCCCAAUAUGAUUUUACAGCUAGCUUUUAUGUUCCCUUGUAAAUCAGCAGGAGAGGGAGUUCAGUUCAGAUUGUUUCAAUUCUCACCAGUAAUAAAAUAGACUUUCUUUUUUCUCCUGGUUGCAGAAAGUCGAUCUGUUGGGGGCACACAUGGGAACAAUGUGAUAGCUGAAUUAAUUCAAGAUCAUGUAUGUAGGUCUUCUAUAUGUUAUAUGAAAUUUCAUAACCCAUUUUUUCCCUUCAGGCAUCAACACGCGAACAGAGCUAUGAAUUAUUUUGUAUUCAGAUGACAUAAUGAGUGUUGAAUCUCAUAUACUUUGUUAUAAAGAGAUGAAAAUUGGUGCUCUUCUGACCUCUGCUGGAAUCAAUAUUGGUCUUUGUAUACUUUUUCUGUUAUUCUAUUCCAUUUUGAGGAAGAACCCACAAAAUGUUAAGGUCUAUUUUGGGAGAAGGAUUGCUGAACAACAUAAGAGGCUCCGAGGAGCUUUUAUUUUGGAGAUAUUUGUUUCAUCCCACAUAGGAGCGGCUGCUGGAAUAGAAAUAAAUUGCUUCUAUACAUGUAAGGCAUCGUGGGUACUCUUCUUACAGGAAACAUACCUACUUGGUCGCAUACUCGAGUGCAUUUUCUUGGUGGUGUGCUUCUCUUUUUUCUUGUAGUGCUCCAGAAGGUUCAUCAAAGUAGUCCUUUCGUUUGAUGCAUUAGCCUUUUUUUUGGGAUAUGCUAACUUGAUUUUGAUUUCUACAGGUGUAGCUAAGCUAGCACAAAGAAGGGGUGUCCCUAACAUGUUGUUGAUUCCAUUUCUUCUACUAUAUUAUAUGAAUAGUCAGUCUAAUUGCUGAUUCAGAAGUCUUCUAGGGAACAAGAUGCCCAACUCGUUAUCAUGUUGUGUGGGUUAAAACAAAUUUACAACUGAUGGUGGUUAUAAAGCUUGGCCGAAAUUUGUUUGUAAGUGAUGCUCUUCAGGUAACUUUCAAUAGUUGUAAUCCCCUUAAUUUCCAACUAAUUGAAUUGUUACUUAUAUGCAAUAUGAGGUGAAUUAUUCUGGAUCCAUAUAUGUAUUUAUCCCUAAUGAUUGGGCAUCUCUAAUGUAUGCCGGGUACAUUCCCUACAAGAUUGCAUAGCACCUUCGUAACAUUGAGCUAACGAUGCCUCAAGAUGCAUCCCAUGACACCGUAAUAGACACUAGAGGACUGUCAGGGGGAGAGCGAUCUUUUUCGACACUUUGCUUCGCUUUAGCACUUCAUGGGAUGAUAGAAGCACCUUUUAGGGCC